rnacentral:tRNA from 1 species
GGCCGACUAGCUCAGUUGGUUAGAGCGUCGUGCUAAUAACGCGAAGGUCUUGGAUUCGAUCCCCACGUUGGCCA